UCGAAAUAUGCAUGACAGAGCUGUCGCUGUCCCUCAAGGGUCGUGCACGCCCAAAGUGCUUUCAUACAAUCCAUCUCACCCCUUUGUGCAUCACCGCGUGGGUUCCUCCCCUUGCGGGGAAGGGCCUGCGUUUUAUCAUAAAACUUGAUACAGUGUAGAAUGUUUAUCUUUGCGGUCACACGCAAUCAAUA
rnacentral:misc_RNA from 1 species